UCAAAUGAGCACAUGAUCGAAUGACAUCACUUUAGGGCACGCAGCGUGUAUCCAUGGCAACGUUCAGCUGCAUAGUGACGGUUCUCCCGGUGAUUUCCUCAGACACGGCCUUGAGUUUUAGCUUUCAUCGGUCAAAAAGGCUGUGAACACUUUCGAAGCUAACAUUAGCAUGUAAAGCUGAAAUGAUUAAAGGUUAUAAAACAACGGGAAGAAUUGCCAUCGGACUAACCCCACAGCUGACAACCAGAGACGCGCGCGCGCACACACACACACACACACACACACACGGAAAGAGCACCGCAACUUUACAAUUGUUCAAUUAAAAUAAACGUAUUUUGCUCCAUAUGGCAAACUCAACUGCCAUAUUUUAUAUUUAAACAACUGGUAAAUGAGUGAUUUAUCUGAAGAAGAGAGACAAUGUUCUCCAUAAAGCUCCUUCUGCUGUUGGUGGCUGUACACAGUGUUUAUUGUCAGGUUGUGCUCACACAGUCUGAGCAGUCAGUAACUGUGUCUCCAAGUGGAUCUGUUAAACUGACCUGUGCAUGUAGUGGAUUCACUCUUAGUAGCUAUAGGAUGCACUGGAUCCGUCAGGCACCUGGAAAAGGACUGGGAUGGAUCUUUCACUAUUAUACAGACUCUAACAAAGGCUCAGCUCAGUCAGUGCAGGGCAGAUUCACAGCAUCUAAGGACAGCUCUAAUCUCUAUCUGCAUUUGAAUCAGCUGAAUACUGAAGACACUGCAGUGUAUUUCUGUGCAAGAGAUUCACUUUGUUUGUUUUCAUACAGAUACACUUACAAAAACCCAGAGGGGAGAGGGACUGUAUUUUAAUUUACUGUUUUUGUUAUUUAAUGUAAAAUAAUAAAUUACUCUGAUACCAUUUUUGCACAGUUUUUCUCAUUCUUAAAUUUAUUAAUUCUGGUUAAAAACAACAACAGCUCAGCAGCUGUCUCUAUUUUUUCUUAAAGGAAUAUUUUACA